rnacentral:rRNA from 1 species
CCUACGGGAGGCAGCAGUGAGGAAUAUUGGUCAAUGGACGAGAGUCUGAACCAGCCAAGUAGCGUGAAGGAUGACUGCCCUAUGGGUUGUAAACUUCUUUUAUAAAGGAAUAAAACGAGGCACGUGUGCCUUUUUGCAUGUACUUUAUGAAUAAGGAUCGGCUAACUCCGUGCCAGCAGCCGCGGUAAUACGGAGGAUCCGAGCGUUAUCCGGAUUUAUUGGGUUUAAAGGGAGCGUAGGCCGCAUGUCAAGCGUGCUGUGAAAUGUCCGGGCUCAACCCGGGCCUUGCAGCGCGAACUGGCGUGCUUGAGUCCGCGGAAAGCAGGCGGAAUUCGUUGUGUAGCGGUGAAAUGCUUAGAUAUGACGAAGAACCCCGAUUGCGAAGGCAGCUUGCUGCAGCGGAACUGACGCUGAUGCUCGAAAGCGCGGGUAUCGAACAGGAUUAGAUACCCCAGUAGUC